rnacentral:lncRNA from 1 species
AUGUGUUAGGAUCUCUUUGUGUUCCAGGCUUUUUGCAUAUCUAAAACUCUAUAAGCAACCAGUGACUGCUUGCUUGAUUUGGAAAGAUAUUUCAUUCCAUACUGAAAGUUUCUUUCCAUUUACUCUGUGGAAAAGAAACUUCAGCACGGUAUUGAGCUAUGAUAAAAGGUUAUUCAUAUGUUUUGAGUUCCUCGAAGAAAUUGAUAGAUAAAUUAUUCAAAAAAGGACCGUUAUCCAGAAGAGACUGAUGGUGAUUUGAUUUUAAAUCAUUAUUACUGAACUAUGCCAUGAACUAUGAUACAGACUUCUGUAUCAUAAUUCAUGGCCUUUUUUCUUGUUUUAUAGGUAAACUCUAGGAAUAUACAUAGGCAGUCCUUUGGCCAAAGUUCUAGCUGAACUUAUAGUUAAGAGGAAAGAGAAGAGUCCUUCCACAUUUCAGUUCUUAUUUUAAAUUAUUUUCAUGUAUGUUGAUAUCAUCAUAGUUUUGUGGGAUAGCCCAGGUAGUGAUCAGUAGCUGUUAGCUAGCCUCUCUGACCAAAGUUUAAUCCUAGAGCUGGAACUCAAAUGAUCUGAUCCAUCUACUAUGCACUUCCUUGAUGUGAGAAUUUCCAUUCUUAAUGAGGAAUAUCUUUUCUUUAUUGCAAACCAGCAUACUCUGAUAUUUAUCCCAGCCUGUUCCAUACCCAUGACUUUAUCAAAACGGCAUUCAGUUCCCUAUUUAAGAGAAUGUUUACUUGUUUUUCAUCAAGAAGCUAGAUUUGCAGAAAUUGGGACUAUUCUUAGGCAAGAUUUGCAGAACAGGUAUGGCUCUAGUUCUUUUAUGAAUUUAUAAAAAUAUAAAACAGUUUUGUCAGAGACAUGCACUCUUCAACUUAAGCUUGUAUACAAACAGAAGGUUAUUAAUCCCAUCACCAAUAGGCUAAAAACAUUUUUAGAACAACAUGCCAGCUGUUUGAUAGCUCUAAGAAGUAGCAGCAGUUUUCAACUUCAUACAAAGUAAUAAGGUUGGGAAGUAUAUCAAGGAGUAUGAGGCAUCAUACUUCAAUAAUAAUCUUAGGAGGAAGAGUGCUAUAUUGGUUUUACUUGUAGGCCUAUAGAGAAGAGGGUUAAAGAACAUAUAAACACUGUGUAAAGUUGAAAUGGAGACUGCUUU